UACGAAGGGGCUAGCGUUGUUCGGAAUUACUGGGCGUAAAGCGUAUGCAGGCGGAUCGUUAAGUCGGGGGUUGAAAUCCCGAGCUCAACCUCGGAACUGCCUUCGAUACUGGCGACCUUCGAGUCCGGGAGAGGUGAGUGGAACUCCGAGUGUAAGAGGUGAAAUUCGUAGAUAAUUCGGAAGAAGCACCAGUGGCGAAGGCGGCUCCACUGGCCGGUA
rnacentral:rRNA from 1 species